UUGGAAAAUCUGAGCGAUAGUUUGCAAUAAUUGUGAUUUUGUAAGUAAAUUUUUGCUAAAAUAUAUACAUAUAUAUGUGCAUAUUGAUGAAAUUUAAUUGUUUAUAUAUUUCUUCAAAUAGGUUGAGCUAUUAUCCCGUAAAAAGCAGCGAUUUAUUCAAGAUAAUUCCAGGUAAGUUUCGCAAACUAAAUGCAUUCACCAAACUAAUGUAUUUUUCUCACAAAAGGUUUUUAGAACAGCACCUUUUAAGUUUUAGAGCUGGCUACAGUUGUUUAUUGGGGCAGUGUCUCAUCAGCGGCGCUACCAACAGCGGUGUUAUAAGCAAGUUCCAGAUUUUUGGAGCAGUGUCUCGCCAAGCUGCGCUACCAGCAGCGUUUUAAUAAGCAAGUUCCAGAUUUUUGGAGUAGUGCACACCAGCAGCAUCAUCACCUUCUACAACUAGAGAUUUUUCAAUUGCGUUUCAGGUAAGAAUUUAGCAAUUGCCAAUGAAUCAAAUUGGUAACUUAUUUUUUUAUUUGUUUUUGGCUUACACCCAUGCUUACACCAUCUUGUAAUGAUAUAAUUAUUAAUACACCAUGGCUCACACUAAUCACGGAUUCGGUACUUAUCUCCAAGCGUUUCCGCUCGGAUGACUAUGAUGCGGGACUUCGGUCUAGCCACUUAAACGUAUAAUUAUUUAAUAAUAUAACAGAUAGAAUUUAGAUGUGUAAGUUUUAAAUGGUAACGAAAAUAUAGUUUGUAAUAAAAUUCCCGUUAAAGUUAAGUUAUUUAAAAACUUAGUACGCAUAUAUACUUCAGAACUUAAGGAAAAAAAGUACAAAUCAAAUUCCAUACUUGAUGAUAUGUUAUUUUUAUUAGAAGUUAAAUAUAAUUAAAUAAA
rnacentral:lncRNA from 1 species